UACAGAGGGUGCAAGCGUUAAUCGGAAUUACUGGGCGUAAAGCGUGCGUAGACGGUUACAUAAGUCGGGUGUGAAAGCCCCGGGCUCAACCUGGGAAUGGCAGUGGAAACUGGCGAGCUGGAGUGUGGCAGAGGGGGGUGGAAUUCCGCGUGUAGCAGUGAAAUGCGUAGAGAUGCGGAGGAACACCGAUGGCGAAGGCAGCCCCCUGGGCUGACACUGACGCUCAGGCACGAAAGCGUGGGGAGCAAACAGG
rnacentral:rRNA from 1 species